rnacentral:lncRNA from 10 species
AAAAGGAAAAGAUAUCACCACCAAACAUGAUGAAGUAGUAUGUGGGAGAAAGAACACAGCAAGAAUGGAAAAUUUUGCACCUGAGUUUCAGGUAGGAGAUGGAAUUGGAAUGGAUUUAAAACUAUCAAACCAUGUUUUCAAUGCUUUAAAACAACAUGCCUACUCAGAAGAACGUCGAAGUGCCCGCCUACAUGAGAAAAAGGAGCAUUCUACAGCAGAAAAAGCAGUUGAUCCUAAGACACGUUUACUUAUGUAUAAAAUGGUCAACUCUGGAAUGUUGGAGACAAUCACUGGCUGUAUUAGUACAGGAAAGGAGUCUGUUGUCUUUCAUGCAUAUGGAGGGAGAUGGAGUUUUGCUCUUGUUG